UAAAUCCUAAUAAAUUUCUCAGA
rnacentral:tRNA from 1 species